AGAGUUUGAUCCUGGCUUAGGAUGAACGCUGGCGGCGUGCUUAACACAUGCAAGUCGAACGGAGCCUAGCGAGUGCUUGCACUUGCGAAAGCUUAGUGGCGGACGGGUGAGUAACGCGUGGGUAACCUGCCCUAUACUGGGGGAUAACAGUUGGAAACGACUGCUAAUACCGCAUAAGCCUACGGUGCCGCAUGACACAGUAGGAAAAAACUCCGGUGGUAUAGGAUGGACCCGCGUCUGAUUAGCUAGUUGGUGAGGUAACGGCCCACCAAGGCGACGAUCAGUAGCCGGCCUGAGAGGGUGAACGGCCACAUUGGGACUGAGACACGGCCCAAACUCCUACGGGAGGCAGCAGUGGGGAAUACUGCACAAUGGGGGAAGCCCUGAUGCAAGCGACGCCGCGUGAGCGAAGAAGUAUUUCGGUAUGUAAAGCUCUAUCAGCAGGGAAGAUAAUGACGGUACCUGACUAAGAAGCACCGGCUAAAUACGUGCCAGCCGCCGC
rnacentral:rRNA from 1 species